rnacentral:tRNA from 2 species
GGGCGGUUAGCUCAGUUGGUUAGAGCGCGGCGUUGACAUCGCCGAGGUCACUGGUUCGAAUCCAGUAUCGCCCACCG